UUAUUAUUAUUAUUAUUAUUAUUAUUAUUAUUAUUAUAUUAGUAUAGCAUUCAUUAUCAAUAACUGAAUAAUUUAUUGUAAAUAUGUAAUUUAUUCAGCAGAUUUUUAAAGUCAUGUGUUUUAUUGGUUAUUUUUGAUAACACCAAAUUUGUCUUGUCUUUUUCUAAUCUGAAAAAUUAUUUUGCAAUACAAUGACAUAAUUUUUCUCAUUACACUUAUUGCUGUGACCUAUUGUAUAGAUCACCACUCUUCUCAUUUCCUCUUCUUACUUCCUCAGAUAAGUAAGGGCUGAAUGCGACUAUGCUGCUUUAUGGUGUCAUUCAUUUCCACUUGAAAUGUGGAGCAGUGCAGGUGCCUCCUAUGAACUACAGCUUGUCUGCAGUGGGUUAGUGAUGAGGGGCUUUGCAAUAACUAUAAUAAAGGAUCACCUUCACUUUUGCCCGCUUCUGUUGCCAAAUGUUGGACAUUUCAAAAGUGUCGAUGGCUGCAGCCUUGUUGCAGGACCUCGUGUUAUAUUUUUGCACCAGGAGGAGCAUAUACGCAUUCAUGACCUGACAGAAAGAAAAGAAGCAAAAUAACUUUUGCAAUUAUAUGGAGGCCUGUCUUACACCUGUCAAUUAAAAACAGCAAUAAAAGGAUCACAAAGGUUUAAAAGGUCUUUUCUCCUUAAGGCUGUAUCGUGCAGUGCAAGGGCAGCCAAAUUUAUCUGCAGAGCUGACUGGAGAGGGAGGAUGGACAGGUGGAGAAGGUGCUGUGGGGCUGACUGGAGAGGGAGGAUGGACAGGUGGAGAAGGUGCUGUGGAGCUGCCUGGAGAGGGAGGAUGGACAGGUGGAGAAGGUGCUGUGGAGCUGCCUGGAGAGGGAGGAUGGACAGGUGGAGAAGGUGCUGUGGAGCUGACUGGAGAGGGAGGAUGGACAGGUGGAGAAGGUGCUGUGGGGCUGACUGGAGAGGGAGGAUGGACAUGAGAGGGAGAUUUGCAGCUGAUCAGAGUUGAGGGAUUCAGUGUAUAGGUUUUAUUUUCCAUUAAGAUUUUCCGGAGCUUGUGAGGGACUUUGGGGACAUCUUCACAGUGGGGUCUCAAAUGAUCUGUAUUAAUUUUGGGCAUUUUGACACCCCUCUCAUCUUGAAGAUCUGCACUUUUUCCCUCCAGUGCCACAAUAGUGUAAGGACCCAGGUAGUUAGCCUCCAGUUUUCCCCCUUUCCGCUGUUGGCUUCUCACGUUUUGCCUCCAUACUUUGUCCCCCACUACAAAGGGUUUGCUGGAUGGACACAACCUUUUUCUCAUUUUCUUUUGAGAGGCUUUAAUGUUUGCCUCAGCCUCACGCAAACCUUCACUAAUCCUCAACGCACACUCUGUGACUUGCUCCACAGUUACUGUGUCUUCCAUGCUUUCGUGAAUCUAAAAAAAAUUAUAUUUUUUUUAGUUUUUAUAAUAAUAUAUAUUUAUUUAAAGGGUUAGUUCGCCCUGAAUAGAAAAUUUGAUCAGAUAUUAAUAGCAUAAUUUACUUAAAUUGGGAUUAAACCACUGGAGUAACAUGGGUUGUUUUUUAUUGUGUUUAUGGACAAUUUAAAGAAUGUUUCAUGUAAACAGACUUUCAAUUUCAAAUUCUCUCAGCUUUAGUAAAAAUAUAUUUAUUCUGUUUAAACUUAAAUGAGAAUGAGUAAAUAAUGACAGAAUUUCAUUGUGAGUGGAGGUAAACUAACCCUUUAAGUAGUUAACAUUGAAUUUGUUUUGAAUUUUCAGUUACCCUGUAUUGCUCCGGAACCUCACAAGCAUAACGGGCCUCUCUCCCAAACAUUAAAAAAAAAGCUUGCAAAGGGCUCUGUUGACAUAACAGCAUUGAUUGUGAUGUAUUAUUAACAUAUAGAGCAUAUACAUUACAACAUAUUGUGUGUACAGGUGUUCU
ensembl:lncRNA